AAUGGGCGAAAGCCUGAUGCAGCGACGCCGCGUGAGGGAUGACGGCCUUCGGGUUGUAAACCUCUUUCAGCAGGGAAGAAGCGAAAGUGACGGUACCUGCAGAAGAAGCACCGGCUAACUACGUGCCAGCAGCCGCGGUAAUACGUAGGGUGCGAGCGUUGUCCGGAAUUAUUGGGCGUAAAGAGCUUGUAGGCGGUUUGUCGCGUCUGCUGUGAAAAUCCGGGGCUCAACCCCGGACUUGCAGUGGGUACGGGCAGACUAGAGUGUGGUAGGGGAGACUGGAAUUCCUGGUGUAGCGGUGAAAUGCGCAGAUAUCAGGAGGAACACCGAUGGCGAAGGCAGGUCUCUGGGCCACUACUGACGCUGAGAAGCGAAAGCAUGGGGAGCGAACAGGAUUAGAUACCCUGGUAGUCCAUGCCGUAAACGUUGGGCGCUAGGUGUGGGACUCAUUCCACGAGUUCCGUGCCGCAGCUAACGCAUUAA
rnacentral:rRNA from 1 species